AGACAAAAAAUGCCGAAUCCAAGAGCAGCAAAAGCUCAUGGUACGGGGGACUUCUUUACUUGGGGUGAAUGAUCACUUGGCUUGCCAAGUGCGCUAGGGAACCUCUUCCCGAACCCGUCAACUAACCUCGGAGGCUUCAAGGAGGCAAGGG
rnacentral:sRNA from 1 species